AAUGAACGCUGGCGGCAGGCCUAACACAUGCAAGUCGAACGGAUCCUUCGGGAUUAGUGGCGGACGGGUGAGUAACGCGUGGGAACAUACCCUUUGGUACGGAAUAGCCUCGGGAAACUGGGAGUAAUACCGUAUGUGGUCGAGAGACGAAAGAUUUAUCGCCGAAGGAUUGGCCCGCGUUGGAUUAGGUAGUUGGUGGGUAAUGGCCUAUCAAGCCGACGAUCCAUAGCUGGUUUGAGAGGAUGAUCAGCCACACUGGGACUGAGACACGGCCCAGACUCCUACGGGAGGCAGCAGUGGGGAAUCUUAGACAAUGGGGGAAACCCUGAUCUAGCCAUGCCGCGUGAUCGAUGAAGGCCUUAGGGUUGUAAAGAUCUUUCAGGUGGGAAGAUAAUGACUGUACCACCAGAAGAAGCCCCGGCUAACUCCGUGCCAGCCGCCGCGGUAA
rnacentral:rRNA from 1 species